rnacentral:guide_RNA from 1 species
AUAAAUAGGGGACAGUCCCCAUAAACUGUAUAGAUGUAUGUAUAUAU